AGUGGCUACGAGGACGAACGCUGGCGGCGUGCCUAAAACAUGCAAGUCGAACGGGGUCUUCGGACCCAGUGGCGAACGGCGGAGUAAUACAUAAGCAACGUGCCCUGAAGACUGGGAUAUACGAUGGAAACUCGGGCAAUACCAGAUGUGGUUGGGAGGAGUCAUCUUCAUCCAAUUAAACGGAUUUAUUCGCUUCGGGAGCGGCUUGUGGCCUAUCAGCUAGUUGGUGAGGUAAAGGCUCACCAAGGCGACGACGGUAGGGGGUCUGAGAGGAUGAUCCCCUCGAGUGGGACUGAGACACGGCCCACACACCUACGGGUGGCAGCAGUUGGGAAUCUUGCACAAUGGGGGAAACCCUGAUGCAGCGACGCCGCGUGGAGGAUGAAGGAUUUCGGUCUGUAAACUCCUUUUACAGGGAAAGACUUAGGACGGUACCCUGUGAAUAAGCUCCGGCUAACUACGUG
rnacentral:rRNA from 1 species